rnacentral:rRNA from 1 species
UACGGAGGGGGGCUAGCGUUGUUCGGAAUUACUGGGCGUAAAGCGCACGUAGGCGGCGAUUUAAGUCAGAGGUGAAAGCCCGGGGCUCAACCCCGGAACAGCCUUUGAGACUGGAUUGCUUGAACAUCGGAGAGGUGAGUGGAAUUCCGAGUGUAGAGGUGAAAUUCGUAGAUAUUCGGAAGAACACCAGUGGCGAAGGCGGCUCACUGGACGAUUGUUGACGCUGAGGUGCGAAAGCGUGGGGAGCAACAGG